rnacentral:rRNA from 1 species
AUGCGGUAUCUUGGUCUUCCGCUGUCGGUCACAAGACUAAAGCGUAUCCACUUUCAGUAUUUGGAGGACAAGGUGGCUGGAAAGCUUCCACCUUGGUCGGCUAUGCAUGUGGCUACGCCCGGGCGCAUUGUUUUGGUCAAGGCUGUGCUCACUGCCAUUGCCAUUUACCACCUAACGCCUCUUGACCUUCCGGUUGAAGUGAUGAAGAAGAUCGAUAGCCUCCGGCGUGCCUACCUUUGGGCGGGUUGUGAUAAGGUGACCGGCGGAAAGUGCAAGGUUAAUUGGGACCUCGUCUGCAAGCCCAAGAUUUAUGGUGGACUAGGAGUGCUCAACCUCCAGAAGUUUGCGACUGUGCUACGCUUGCGUUGGCUCUGGCACGAAUGGGAUGAUCCACCUAGGACUUGGUCUGGCUCUGGAACACCUUUUACUAGCAACGACAAAGAUCUCUUCGUCGCUGCCACACGGGUGUGCAUCGAAGAUGGAAACAAAGCUAAGUUCUGGGAAUCUCCAUGGAUGUACGGCCUCCGGCCUAAAGACAUUGCACCAAAGAUUUUUGAGUUGUCAAAAAAGAAAAUGUGCCUGGUCAGGAAAGCUCUUGACAAUAACCUUUGGAUCCGCCAUAUUGGCACUCAGCAGGGGCUAACCUUGGCCCAUAUUCAGGAAUUUGCAACCCUGUGGGGGAUGCUUGCUGAUAUAACCCUCAACCAGGGAAGCCAAGACACCAUAACUUGUGAAAGAUCGUGGAUGUCGCCUAGAGGGGGGUGA